AAGACUUGACAUUGAUUGAAAAGCUAAGAGAUUAGCUCCUCUUCUUCGGAAGACAAGAAAAC
rnacentral:rRNA from 1 species